CAAGCUCUUUUGUCCGGGACGAUAAUGACGGUACCGGAAGAAUAAGCCCCGGCUAACUUCGUGCCAGCAGCCGCGGUAAUACGAAGGGGGCUAGCGUUGCUCGGAAUCACUGGGCGUAAAGGGCGCGUAGGCGGCCGAUUAAGUCGGGGGUGAAAGCCUGUGGCUCAACCACAGAAUUGCCUUCGAUACUGGUUGGCUUGAGACCGGAAGAGGACAGCGGAACUGCGAGUGUAGAGGUGAAAUUCGUAGAUAUUCGCAAGAACACCAGUGGCGAAGGCGGCUGUCUGGUCCGGUUCUGACGCUGAGGCGCGAAAGCGUGGGGAGCAAACAGGAUUAGAUACCCUGGUAGUC
rnacentral:rRNA from 1 species